CCACAAUUUUUUAACAUCAAUACAACAUUCAUAUUCAUCUUCAUAUUCUUUGCCUACACACUUGCUGUUCAGGCUUAAGACGGUUCCUUCGAACACGCCGACAACCCUCCAAAUUGACAUGGCAAGAAGAGAGGUACGUUUGAGAGCACCACCCCUUCCCACUUUUCAGCGUGACUUCCAGCUUCCUGAUCGUUAAGAUGGAAUUCUCGGCUGAGGAUGAAGCCAAAAUUGAGAGCUAGAGAAAGGUGUUGAUGGGUUGUUUGAAAGCUUUGCAAGGUUGGAUUCACGUAUUUCAAGUGUUGGUCAGACAGCUGCAAAGAUAGGAGAUCAUCUCCAAGUAGGGAGCUGUGUUCUUCCACCCUUCCAGUGCUUCCACUAUAUUUUGAUAGAAGAAAUGUGAUCUCACGUUUACUUGUAUUCUAAUGUUUUAUUGGUUGGUUAAAUUAUCCUUUUUGUUUGAAAUAUAAUUUCAUUUGCAAUUCUGUUUUUUUGUCAGAGUGCAGAUGCUCAGCGAGAAACUGCCAGUCAAACUAUUGAGCUGAUAAAAGUAAAAAUCAGCCAAUUCAUUUGUGGUUUAUACCCAUCAUUCAUGUUGGAAAAUUUACCUUAUGGUUGAUUAAUUUCUACAGUACUUAAUGGAGUUCAAUAGCAGCCCUGGUGAUUUGAUGGAGCUUUCUCCUCUUUUUUCUGAAUAGUUAAGGGAGCGGAGACAGCUUUAUAGCAGAUCAACCAUAAAUCGAUCGAGAAUAUGAAGAAUAUCAUAUUUGUAAGUUAUCUAAUUCUUCUAUAGGAAAGCUAGUAGAAUUGUCUUGUUGUCCACCAGUAUUCCAAAGGAAACUAGCAUACUUUGACAGAAAAUAAGUGUUGCCAGGAUCUGAUUCCAAUGCUUGUAGAUAUCUCAAUUCUGCUACCAUUUGAUUUGAUGUAAUUUUGUGAUGUUUGUUUCGAACCGGUAAUCUACGAGCUACUUAAGAACCUAUCACUUAUCUUUACAUAUUUUUUUCUUAGGUGUAUUUGAAUAAUUUGUGGGUGUAGGUUUACAGCGUCAGUUGCAGGAACCUGUCCACCGUACGAUCUCGAGGUUCCACCGUAAAUUAAAUUGGUUCAAUAUUUCUUUGUUGGUGUAAAGGUAUUGUUCCAUCUACUUGGAGAUCCUAUAACUCACGACGAUACCUCUACCCGUAUGAACAUUAUUGGAUGUCACACGAUUCUGUUAGAAAUAUGAUGCUCAUAGUGCCGGCGUCGUCCUCCUGUUGGCGGCGAAGUGUACGAUAUUGAACAUUCAAGAGAAGUGUCUUCAUUAAAAUAUUCGUAGAGAAGCUUGCGCUUCAUUUGUUCAAUGGAGAUGUUCAUCAAGCAGCAUACCGUAUCCUGUCAGAUUUUAGAAAUGGUAGGUUUGGUUGGACUGCAUUGGAGAGGCCUCCUAGGUGAUGUCAAAUGUUUGCUUUUAGAAGCAACACCCUGAAGCUAGAAUUGAAAAUUAUGCUGGAGAUUUCCAGGAGCAAACCGAAAAGCCAAGAUUUCAAGCAGCAUACCGUAUCCUGUCAGAUUUUAGAAAUGGUAGGUUUGGUUGGACUGCAUUGGCUUUUCCUUUUUUUUUGAAGUAGUGAAUGAAAAGCCAAGCUUGUUGUAUCAGGUUGAUUCCACGGGUUAUUUUGUUUGUUAUUAUUGUGUCAAAAUACUCUUUGAUGCACGUCUGAUAUGCAAGCAACUAUGUGUAAAUUUUAGGAA